rnacentral:lncRNA from 1 species
GGCACAGCAAUGUAUCUUGUAGAAUCUUUAAAGGAGAAACUCCUGUUUUCACACUCUGAUCCUCAGAUGUUCUGCAAUCCUGCUGGUUCAAACAGAGAAGAGUGAAGCAAGUGUUCAAGAAGUUUCACUACUGCUUUAUAUAUUCUUCACAAACUAAAUACGAUGUGACCAGCAUCUGGAUCAAGAACAAAACAUUGUCAACACUUGUUGACAAUGCCUUCCUCACGUUUGCUCAAAGUCACGAACCCAAAAGGGUUGGUUUUGUUUGUUUUUGAAGUAUACAGCAGGUCCACAUUAAGUAGUGCUUUUUGUGUCCUGUUUAUACAAUCUUUUCCUACUCCGAGGCCAUGAAGAUAUUCUCCUAUUUUUCUCAAAAGGUUUUAUCUUUCACAUUUAGAUCUGCAAUGCAUCUAGAAUUGAUUUUUGUAUAUGAUGUGAGGUGGGGAUCAAGAUACAUUUUUUUAAAUAUGCAUAUAUAAAAUGAUUCAUUACCCUUUAUUUAAAGGACCAUCUUUUUACAAUUGCAGUAUCUCCUUCCUUUGUCAUAAAUCAGUUGAGUGUGCAUGUGUGGAGUUGUUUCUGGAUUCUCUAUUCUGUUCCAUUGGUCAGUGUGAUGACACCUGCACCAAUACCCUACUAUAUAUUAAUUAGUAUGGCUUAAUAAUAGAUUUUGAUACCUG